AGGUUCGAGGUGGAAGUGUGGCGACACAUGGAGCUGACGGAUACUAAUCGGUCGAAGACUUAUCCUAAUUU
rnacentral:rRNA from 1 species